UGCCAGCCGCCGCGGUAAUACGGAGGGUGCAAGCGUUGUUCGGAAUUAUUGGGCGUAAAGAGCACGUAGGCGGACUGUUAAGUUAGAGGUGAAAUCCCGGGGCUCAACCCCGGAACUGCCUUUAAUACUGGCAGUCUAGAGUUCGAGAGAGGUGAGUGGAAUUUCUAGUGUAGAGGUGAAAUUCGUAGAUAUUAGAAGGAACAUCAGAGGCGAAGGCGGCUUUCUGGCCCGAUACUGACGCUGAGGUACGAAAGCGUGGGGAGCAAACAGGAUUAGAUA
rnacentral:rRNA from 1 species